AGUGAACGCUGGCGGUAGGCCUAACACAUGCAAGUCGAACGGCAGCACAGUAAGAGCUUGCUCUUACGGGUGGCGAGUGGCGGACGGGUGAGGAAUACAUCGGAAUCUACUUUUUCGUGGGGGAUAACGUAGGGAAACUUACGCUAAUACCGCAUACGGCCUACGGGUGAAAGCAGGGGAUCUUCGGACCUUGCGCGUUUGAAUGAGCCGAUGUCGGAUUAGCUAGUUGGCGGGGUAAAGGCCCACCAAGGCGACGAUCCGUAGCUGGUCUGAGAGGAUGAUCAGACACACUGGAACUGAGACACGGUCCAGACUACUACGGGAGGCAGCAGUGGGGAAUAUUGGACAAUGGGCGAAAGCAUGAUCCAGCCAUACCGCGUGGGUGAAGAAGGCCUUCGGGUUGUAAAGCCCUUUUGUUGGGAAAGAAAAGCAGCAGGUUAAUACCCCGCUGUUCUGACGGUACCCAAAGAAUAAGCACCGGCUAACUUCGUG
rnacentral:rRNA from 1 species